CGAAAAACUAUAUAUACUAGCGACCGAAGUCUCCUCGGUCUUUGAGUCGACUGGUUCACACCGGAAGAGCAGGUCCUCGUUUUCUUCAGUUUAAAAUGCUACAAAACCUCGGAGAUUCAAUCUUCACUAACGACAUGUUCUGUUUGGAUCACAAGGCAUUUGGUGGAGACCUGUAUGAGCCAGAUGGAGGCGGAGGAUGAUGUUGGUGGUUUGAUCUUCAGGAGAAUAUCCUACUGAUGGUGAUGCCUCUGUCACAGCAGUAUAAAAUGACCUGAGGAAAUGGGUCUGAGACGGCAGCUCUGACAAGACCGCGGCCGUCUGCGUCACCUCUGUUUAAACAUGUUUCAGAUUGGUGAGAUGAAACAGUGAGGAAGAGAUUGCAGCAGCUGUAACAGACACUGUUGAGCUGUCCUGGGAAGAAUUCAUGCUUUGAAAGUAAUAAGCAUGAUCCCUGAUGGAGAUUGGACCAGUGGAAAAUUUCUCUUCUCCCUGAUGACAAACUCGCCAGUAAAUGUUUGUCAAGAUUUUCAUCUGCCACUCAUACACGUGAUGCACAGCCAGUGUCAAACUAACACCAGUUUAUGAAGAAAUAAAAAUGUAUUUAAGUCAA